UCGAGAAUCUUUCGCAAUGGGCGCAAGCCUGACGAAGCGACGCCGUGUGAGCGAAGAAGGCCUUCGGGUUGUAAAGCUCUUUCGCUAGGGAACAAGAGAUAUGGGACAAUACCCCAUAGAUUUGAUGGUACUUGGUAAAGAAGCACCGGCUAACUCCGUGCCAGCAGCUGCGGUAAUACGGAGGGUGCAAGCAUUGAUCGGAAUUACUGGGCGUAAAGGGCGCGUAGGCGGCUGUAUAAGUCAGAUGUGAAAUUCCGGGGCUCAACCCCGGAGCUGCAUUUGAAACUGCAUAGCUAGAGUGUAGUUAGGGUAAACGGAAUUCCACGUGUAGCGGUGAAAUGCGUAGAUAUGUGGAAGAACACCGGUGGUGAAGACGGUUUACUGGGCUAUAACUGACGCUGAGGCGCGAAAGCAUGGGGAGCAAACAGGAUUAGAUACCCCCGUAGUCC
rnacentral:rRNA from 1 species